AUCUUCAUAGUUUAAGUAAGAAUAAAGGUUUGUGGUACCUUAGGUGUGUCUAGGCACUGAAGAUC
rnacentral:tRNA from 1 species